GAGUUAGGUCAGGUCAUGCACAAGAUUUCCCAUGUCUGGUCACCGGAUAGCUCUCACUAAGCGCUUAGUGCUAAAUCCUCGUCAAUCCCUCCCUGAAGGCUCAUGGAACCUCGGGGAAGAGGAACAGAAAGUCCGUCUGACCCAGGGAAUGGGGAGGAGCGACGCUUUCGGGGUGCGCGGCUAUUGUACUCUUGAACUCAUGGUAACUAUGGUUACCGGCACAGGAUCCAGUCAACAAGACCAGUCAGCAUCCUGGCAGUCAGCACUUAGAGGACUUAGUGGCUGUGGAGGGGGACAGAGGCAGCAGACCCCUAAAUUUUGGGCAGACAGAAUUGGUUUUGGAUACAUCAAUGAGAAAAACGAGAACCUGUUUUAUGAACACAUUGGGGGUCUCUGGUGAGACCUGAGACUAGAUAGACCUGGACCUAGAGGAAAAACAAAUUCUUUUGUUCUAUUAAAGAGACAGAG
rnacentral:lncRNA from 1 species